UUUAUAAUUAUUUUCUCUGAGCUUUUCCCAGAAUGAUGCCUAGGAAACUAUCCGUUUCUCUCUCUCAGCAUCCAUGAGUAAUACCCAGGUGACAAAUUUAUUACCAGCUUGAUCAUUCUGUUGAUGAAAAUGUUAAAAGUGGGCAGUGUCAAACACUGGAUCAAGUUGUCUGGAGAUAAAAUUCUACCCUUGAAGAAGGUCAGAAUUCUGCUGGAGUUGUCAGACCUAAUGUCCAAGCUGACCCUGCUCUGAGUGAGAGGAUCUAGGACAUCCAGAGCUACUGAAAAUGUGAGAGCUAUUUAUUACCAAGGAGACUUAGACUCAAGAGCUGCCUGCACCAGCAUCCAUACAGCUGUCAUGGCCCUCCACUGUGAGGAGCUGCAUGGUAAAUGAUUCUGUUCUGCCUUGGUCCAGGGGUAAGGUUCCUGCAGCUGAAGAAUUGCUCUGCUUGCUGGUGUUGACAGAAGGCAGAUUGUGUGCGGGAAUCCCUUUGUCUGAAGGACAGACUGCAUCUGAACCAGACCUGCUCUAACAGUUGACUCAGCCUUGUCCAUUUAAAGCCAUUACAAGGGUCCUGCCCUGCCAGGGAGAUAGUCAGACCUGUUGACUGCAUCCAAGGAAAGCAAAGGCACUUUUGAAUACAACAACAACAACAAAAAAAUCUGCAUUUUGAUUGUUUUCAUUUAGUCUGAGAUCUGGGCACUUGUCAGAAAUUAUUCUAAAUAGAUAGUGCAUUGAAAGUUUCCCUAAAUUUCACUGCUCUGCAGUGCUUGUAUUCUUAUAUACAUCUCUUGUUUGCAAUGAUCGUCUUGACAUUUCCUGAAGGAAAAUUUCACUUUUCUAUCUGACCUCACCAUUUUUUAAAAAUAUAAAAUAAACUGAACUUCUACCAUGAGUGACUGAAAUAUGUAACUGUACUGUUUCUGAAGUAGCAGAAACAAAAAACUUUGUUUUUUGGAAAUUAUUUCAGUAGUAGUCCUUAAGUAAGAGUUUGAAAUUGCUCUGCUUAAGAGUUUGUAGAUGCUAUUUUGAAAUAUUGUGAUUUCAUUUAUCUCAUGUAAAUACAUGUAAUUUAUAUGUGGUAACACUGAAGCCACCUUUAAACAGGCAAGUAUAGAAUGCAGGUAUGUACAAAGUGUGAACCUGAUACAUUUGCUGUAUUGUCUGAAUGAAACAGUGCAAGACAAGAUUUUGGUGAGGGAUGCUGUGAUGUCUUGAAUAGGAUUAUAUUAUAUUUCUUUUUCUUUCAGAAUAAAUUAUAAAUGUCACA